ensembl:snoRNA SNORA70 Small nucleolar RNA SNORA70
CUAUAAAAAAAGACCUCUUGUGUUCUUUUCCCCAUGGGGGCCCAGUGUGCAGUGGCUGCAUCAGCACCCUCCUCAGUAGUAUAUGCAGCCUGUUGCUCUCCGGGUUGUCCUAAAGGACCUUGGAGACACCC